rnacentral:lncRNA from 1 species
CCUGAUCAGAUCAUCCGAAUCGUGCUCAACUCAAACAGUCCUGUGACUCCUCACUAGGACUACCCUGGCCAAGAUUUUGCUAAAUUGAAACAUGACUAUACACAGCUCCUGAACUGGAGUGGUCAAUCCCAUCUUGACACAUGCACCGACAAGUCAAGUACUUGACUACACCCAGCAGCCUUUCGUCACUGAAUUAAAAAUUCAGGUAGUCCAGUGCCUAAGUGCAGUGAGUUGCUUGCAAGUCACCAUGGUGGUCUCAGGUCGGAGGGACAUUUAUACCCAUAUCCC